AUAAUCUGGUUCCUCUUCAAAUCAUAUAAAUCUUUCGCCUUUUACUAAAGAUUUCCGUGGAGUGGAGCACUCAGAGUUUUAAUCAAUUUUUUAUGGCUCUGCUUUUGUAGGGC